rnacentral:lncRNA from 1 species
AGGGUAGUAGCUAGGAAUGUUAUAACAUUAAACAUUCUGAACAUUGUAUCUGAAAUAUCGUUCCAUGGACUUCAUUCAUUGACACUUCUACUGCAAGUUUAAUUUCAAGAGGCUCAGGCAUCUGCGUCCAUAAUACCACCAAGGGACAUCAUUUACCGUCUUUGAAUCUUCAACCAAGUCUCGAGCUUGUCCAACCAAAACACGCCACAUGAAAUGUUAAAGCCGACACUCUACUGCGAGUUUAAUUUCAAGGGGCUCGGGCUUCUGCAUCCAUAACACCACCAAGGGACAUCAUUUACCGUCUUUGAAUCUUCAACCAACUCUCGAGCUUGUCCAACCAAAACACCACCACAUGAAAUGUUUAAAAGCAACAUACAAAGAACGCCAUAAAAUAUGUCUUCUGGAUUGUACUUAAUAAGGAGAUAAAAGCAACAUAUG